GGUGCCAUGACGAAUGAAUAAAAAGAAAAUAAAAAAAUGGAAGGAGGCGAGAGGCGGAUGGUGGUGAUGAUGAUGGGGUCUUAUCCUAAAGUCAAUGAAAAGACGAGGUUUACAGAAAUCGAUGGAUAGACCAAAUUUGGGGCUUUGGUUGCUAUUACAUUAAGAGUAGCGAAACCUCCAUGGGUUUCCAGGUCGAUGUUUGGGGUGCUGCGCGACAGCGCAAGAUUUGGGGCUCUUGAGCUCGAUGGGGCAUGGAGGGGCUGCGGCGUGCGGCGGCGACGGCGUGAUGAAGAGGUUGCUAUGUGUGGUGAAGAGUUGUUUGGGUUGUUUUUAUGAACUAAUUUGUACAACAUAAU
rnacentral:lncRNA from 1 species